GAUCAAUGAUGAAAACAUUUCACUACAGACCUUUAUAACUAUAAGGUUUCGACACUUGCUCUGAGUUCA